rnacentral:tRNA from 2 species
AGCCCCGUCGUCUAGCGGCCAAGGAUACGGGCCUCUGGAGCCUGAGACAGCAGUUCGAAUCUGCUCGGGGCUA